rnacentral:tRNA from 1 species
GAGGGUAUAGGUCAGUGACAGAGCAUGUGCUUAGCAUGCACAAGGUCCUGGGUUCAAUCCUCAGUAUCUCCA